UACGAAGGGGGGCUAGCGUUGCUCGGAAUCACUGGGCGUAAAGGGUGCGUAGGCGGGUCUUUAAGUCAGGGGUGAAAUCCUGGAGCUCAACUCCAGAACUGCCUUUGAUACUGAAGAUCUUGAGUUCGGGAGAGGUGAGUGGAACUGCGAGUGUAGAGGUGAAAUCGUAGAUAUCGCAAGAACACCAGUGGCGAAGGCGGCUCACUGGCCC
rnacentral:rRNA from 1 species